rnacentral:rRNA from 1 species
UAGGGAAUAUUGGACAAUGGGGGCAACCCUGAUCCAGCAAUGCCGCGUGAGUGAUGAAGGCCUUAGGGUUGUAAAGCUCUUUUACCCGGGAUGAUAAUGACAGUACCGGGAGAAUAAGCCCCGGCUAACUCCGUG